GAUUUAAGCAGGACCUUCCCCAGAGACUACCAACGCAACAUUGUCAACAACUUCACAAAAAAAGUACUGUACUGCAUAUAGCAGGAGAGAAGAAAUCUGUGACUUGCUUCUAACAAACAGCAUAUGUGACCCCAUGGAGUCCCAAUAAGAACACACGCCUUCACUGCAGCUUGGUGAGACCCUGAG